rnacentral:lncRNA from 1 species
AUCAUCAACUUUCAUAUCAUUUAGUUUACAAAAUUUGGUCUACAAAUUUAGUCUCUCUAGCAUUACCCAUAAGAUUAGGCAAUUGUCAAUGUUAGAACAUGCAUGUUCGAGUGUAUUGAAAGUAUAAAUGGGUUGUAUGUAUGAGUUGUCAUCCUCACCAUAGCUUGUCAUUCACCUUACAUCAACCUUUCUCCAUGCUUGUCAUUCACCUUAUAUCAACCUUUCUUCAUAGCUUGUCAUUCACCAAUCACUUUCCAUAACUUGUCAUUCACCUUACAUCAACAUUUCUUAGUUGCUUGUAAAAACUUCUUUACUUGUAAUUUGGUUUUUGCUUUUCCACUUGUUAUGGUAGAUUUUAGGGAUUGUGUUUGUGUAGUUAUCCUACAAUCUAUUGUAGCUUUCUUUUGGCUCUCUAUAAGAGUUGUCUUCACUCUCUUGUAAUCUUCAUAAUGAAAUAUACAACAAAUAUUGAAACUAAAACUCAACAUGGUAUCAGAG